GAUGAACGCUGGCGGCGUGCCUAAUACAUGCAAGUCGAGCGAACAGACGAGGAGCUUGCUCCUCUGAUGUUAGCGGCGGACGGGUGAGUAACACGUGGAUAACCUACCUAUAAGACUGGGAUAACUUCGGGAAACCGGAGCUAAUACCGGAUAACAUGUUGAACCGCAUGGUUCAACAGUGAAAGACGGUCUUGCUGUCACUUAUAGAUGGAUCCGCGCCGCAUUAGCUAGUUGGUAAGGUAACGGCUUACCAAGGCAACGAUGCGUAGCCGACCUGAGAGGGUGAUCGGCCACACUGGAACUGAGACACGGUCCAGACUCCUACGGGAGGCAGCAGUAGGGAAUCGUCCGCAAUGGGCGAAAGCCUGACGGAGCAACGCCGCGUGAGUGAAGAAGGUCUUCGGAUCGUAAAACUCGGUUAUUAGGGAAGAACAAAUGUGUAAGUAACUAUGCACGUCUUGACGGUACCUAAUCAGAAAGCCACGGCUAACUACGUG
rnacentral:rRNA from 1 species